rnacentral:rRNA from 1 species
UACCAGCACCCCGAGUGGUCGGGACGAUUAUUGGGCCUAAAGCAUCCGUAGCCGGUUCUACAAGUCUUCCGUUAAAUCCACCUGCUCAACAGAUGGGCUGCGGAGGAUACUAUAAGACUAGGAGGCAGGAGAGGCAAGCGGUACUCAGUGGGUAGGGGUAAAAUCCGUUGAUCCAUUGAAGACCACCAGUGGCGAAGGCGGCUUGCCAGAAUGCGCUCGACGGUGAGGGAUGAAAGCUGGGGGAGCAAACCGG